AUGAGAUGGGUCGCGAGGAACAAGGAGAUCCCACUCCGCAAACUGGGCGUGAGAUUCUACUUGAUGCGUUAUAACUGUUUGUCCGUCGGCAGAUCCGUCGCCGGCGCCAUGGCGACCCAGAAGGUCGAGGCCGCCGAGUUUGAUAUCCUGGCGGAGAAGGCUCGUGUCAAUUGCACUCCCGACGAUCUCCUCAAAUUUGCCAAGCAGUUCAAUACCUUCCUUGCUGAUUGUCCAGACGCAUUUGCUGGCCUCACACGGCUGCGGUUGCACAUUAUGAGGUUUGCUAAACCGGACAUAUCAAACAUCCUAAGCAUUUGCAAGCCGCUGCGCUCUCUGCGUUUCUCCCACUGCGACGCGGGGAUCGGCUCUGUGCUACAAGUGGAGCAUGCCCGACUCGUUGAGUUGGUGAUUGACUAUGGGAAUUUUGAGCAGCUCAGCUGCGCGCCAAAACUCGAAAGGAUGAGCUAUAAUAAUUGGAACUCUGACGGAGAUUCCCUGUUUUUCGGCUUUGUCCCGCGGCUCUCGGACCUAGAUCUCACCAAGGUUGGAACUCGUUCCAACAAAACUCUCGAGUUAGGCCAGUUCCUUGCUAAUGCCCCCAACAUAAGCAAUCUGCAUCUGGAUUUUGAAAGCGAAAAGAUUUGGAUUCUACCAGAAUGUCCGAAACUGCUCACACCUCUGCUCGGCAAACUACGGGUUGUGAAUCUGGACGAUCUUCCUGAAGGAUGUGAUAUUGCUUGGACAAUGUUCAUUCUUGAAGCCGCACCCUUCCUGGAUUACCUAUGCAUCACAGUAUGGGAUCAUUGCAUGGAAACUGACAGGAAGCUUCGGAAGGCACAUGGCUAUUGCGAGAAAGAAAAUGUGGAGUGGAAACCAUCUGUUUCUGAAUUCAAGCAUAAGCAUCUGGCUAAGCUCACCAUCUACGGCUUCCAACCCGACUUCAACUUCGUCGGAUACAUCAAUCGUGUCGUCGAAGUUGCAGUGAACUUGAAGGAAAUAUCUCUGCACGACAGGAAGUCAUGCAAUAGCUGCGGGAACUUGGAUCCCAAGAUCAAGGUUAGCCCGCCAAAGUGUUCGCGGACUCGGGAGGAGAGGGAGCUUAUUACAGAGGUGUUGGGGCUGGCUUCAUCUGAGAUGGUUUACUUCCGGUUCUAA
rnacentral:rRNA from 1 species